AGAGUUUGAUCAGUGGCUCAGGACGAACGCUGGCGGCGUGCUUCAUACAUGCAAGUCGAACGAGAAGUUAUCUUCGGAUAAUGGACAGUGGCGGACGGGUGAGUAAUGUGUAGAGAAUCUGCCCUAUAGAGGGGGAUAGCAGUUGGAAACGACUAUUAAUACCCCAUAUGCGCGUAGUUGAGAUACUAUUCGUGAAAGAUUUAUCGCUAUAGGAUGAGUCUGCAUCUGAUUAGCUAGUUGGGGGUGUAAUGGACCACCAAGGCGACGAUCAGUAGCUGGUUUGAGAGGAUGAUCAGCCACAAUGGGACUGAGACACGGCCCAUACUCC
rnacentral:rRNA from 1 species